UACGAAGGGGGCUAGCGUUGCUCGGAAUCACUGGGCGUAAAGCGCACGUAGGCGGCUUUUUAAGUCAGGGGUGAAAUCCUGGAGCUCAACUCCAGAACUGCCUUUGAUACUGAGAAGCUUGAGUCCGGGAGAGGUGAGUGGAACUGCGAGUGUAGAGGUGAAAUUCGUAGAUAUUCGCAAGAACACCAGUGGCGAAGGCGGCUCACUGGCCCGGUACUGACGCUGAGGUGCGAAAGCUAGGGUAGCAAACGGG
rnacentral:rRNA from 1 species